AAGAAGAUAUGACGGUACUUGAGGAAUAAGCCACGGCUAAUUCCGUGCCAGCAGCCGCGGUAAUACGGGAGUGGCAAGCGUUAUCCGGAAUUAUUGGGCGUAAAGCGUCCGCAGGCGGCUUUUCAAGUCUGCUGUUAAAGCGUGGAGCUUAACUCCAUCAUGGCAGUGGAAACUGAAAGGCUUGAGUAUGGUAGGGGCAGAGGGAAUUCCCGGUGUAGCGGUGAAAUGCGUAGAUAUCGGGAAGAACACCAGUGGCGAAGGCGCUCUGCUGGGCCAUUACUGACGCUCAUGGACGAAAGCCAGGGGAGCGAAAGGGAUUAGAUACCCCUGUAGUCCUGGCCGUAAACGAUGAACACUAGGUGUCGGGGGAAUCGACCCCUUCGGUGUCGUAGCUAACGCGUUAAGUGUUCCGCCUGGGGAGUACGCACGCAAGUGUGAAACUCAAAGGAAUUGACGGGGGCCCGCACAAGCGGUGGAGUAUGUGGUUUAAUUCGAUGCAACGCGAAGAACCUUACCAGGGUUUGACAUCCUGCGAACCUCUUAGAAAUUUGAGGGUGCCUUCGGGAAUGCAGUGACAGGUGGUGCAUGGCUGUCGUCAGCUCGUGUCGUGAGAUGUUGGGUUAAGUCCCGCAACGAGCGCAACCCACGUUUUUAGUUGCCAGCAUUUAGUUGGGCACUCUAGAAAGACCGCCGGUGAUAAACCGGAGGAAGGUGUGGAUGACGUCAAGUCAUCAUGCCCCUUACACCCUGGGCUACACACGUACUACAAUGCUACGGACAAAGGGCAGCAAACUCGCGAGAGCUAGCAAAUCCCAUAAAC
rnacentral:rRNA from 1 species